GUGGGGAAUCUUGCGCAAUGGGCGAAAGCCUGACGCAGCCAUGCCGCGUGAAUGAUGAAGGUCUUAGGAUUGUAAAAUUCUUUCACCGGGGACGAUAAUGACGGUACCCGGAGAAGAAGCUCCGGCUAACUUCGUGCCAGCAGCCGCGGUAAUACGAAGGGGGCUAGCGUUGCUCGGAAUUACUGGGCGUAAAGGGCGCGUAGGCGGACAGCUUAGUCAGAGGUGAAAGCACAGGGCUCGACCUUGGAAUUGCCUUUGAUACUGGCUGGCUUUGGUUUGGGAGAGGAGAGUGGAACUCCGAGUGUAGAGUGGAAAUUCGUAGAUAUUCGGAAGAACACCAGUGGCGAAGGCGACUCACUGGCCCAAUACUGACGCUGAGGCGCGAAAGCGUGGGGAGCAAACAGGAUUAGAUACCCGAGUAGUCC
rnacentral:rRNA from 1 species